rnacentral:rRNA from 1 species
GGCAACCCUGAUCCAGCCAUCCCGCGUGUGCGAUGAAGGCCUUCGGGUUGUAAAGCACUUUUGGCAGGGAAGAAACAGCCUGGGAUAAUACCUUGGGCGAAUGACGGUACCUGCAGAAUAAGCACCGGCUAACUACGUGCCAGCAGCCGCGGUAAUA